GCUGGUCAAAAGGAAUGGGUGAGUCGUCUUCCCGGCUCCGUUGGUUUACGAAACCAUAUUGUGUGUGUAAUAGUGCCUGUGCCGGUAAGAAGAAAGGCAGUUCUGGCCGAGGCAUACCCGGGUUGGGGUGCUGUCUGUGGCUUUGAAGGAGGUCGGGAAUGGAGGCGCGUUCUUCCACGUUGAAGUCAAGGUCGACUUGUCUGUCUGCUAAAGCGAAGUACCCUGUCCAGGAAGAGGAAUCCGAAGAGGAACUAGAGAAGCAUUGGUCUAUUAGAGAAAAAGCCAGGCUUCCUUGGACACCAGAAAGGAAAGACACCGAGUCUUCAAAAACCAGCUGAACAAGGAUAUCCUCAAGACAGAGGGAAAUGGCAUUAAUAAGGAGUCUCUUGUGUUGGGCAUUGAAUGCAUGCCAGGCACUGUGACAAACAUUUCCCAUAUAUUAUCACUUUUCAUCCUUAACAACUAUCCCCUUGUACAGAUGAAGACUCCAAAGCUAAAGAAACAAACAAAAAAGGUAAAGCAACUCGGACAAGGUAAGCACAGCUAGUAAGUCAUGGCCUGGGGCAUAUCUAUAGGUAUAUUUUUUAUAAGAUCACGUCUGUAAACUGCCUAAGAUUAUGACAACGAAGGGCAUUAGUUAAAAUUGUAAGCAUAUGUUGGAAGGAGAAUCGGUCCCUAGGGACAAACAUACCUGAAACGCUCUAUAAAAAUCAUCAGUCGAGAUAGCCCUUUGUUCUUGGUUCCUAAGCAGGGUUGGGGCAAAAACUACUUGUUAUAAAGGAAAUCCCUAAGAACCUCAGUUAGGGUUUCUGAAACUCAAACUCAGAGCACGUACUGAGGCUCAGAGUGGUUACGUGUUUUGCUCUGGGAUUCUGACGUUCCAAGUCCAUUUGACUCCAAGACCCAACUUCUUUGAGGAAUUUUGGCUCAGGAAUUUAGGAAUACACAGCGACUGCUACGAG
rnacentral:lncRNA from 1 species